ensembl:lncRNA
CAGCGCUCCCAAACCUCCCGUCCAAACGGUUGAGCGGAGAGCUAGGACACAGGUGUGGGUGUGUUUGGCAUGUGCUGGAGGCGUGAUGCAGGUGCACAUGUGCCAAUUUGGGGCCGUCUAAGCUGGAGGUGGACGCAGAAUCAACAGAUUAAAAUGUCACAAAAGGUACCGUGCAACGUGCAAAACACAAAAUGAAGUCUACGAUUUGAAGCAGAAUCAGCAGAUGAGACAGAAACGAAAGGCACCAUGUAAAUUUUUGACGAUCUGCAGUGCCUUUAUGGCGUCUGAGACACAGGAGUAAUUGUGUCCUCUGUUGGAGAUGGAUUUGCAUGCUUUAACUUAUGCAGCGUGACUCGCCUCGCUCUCGUACACAAACUCUGACACACACACGCGCUUGCAUUGACUGUUAAACGCUGCUGAGUUCUCACCUACUCGCUCUCAACCCCCCUCUGUUCCACUCGCACGCUCUUAACAAUUGAAACAGACCACAUCUAUUUCCUCCUUUUCAAGCAAAUGUGGACAGGUGGUUUCAUAGACCGGCCCGAAUGCCAGAUAACCUGUGCAGAAAGAAGCCAGAAUUACAUUUGUUAGAACAUGUGACCUAAACGGCCCAAUGGUGCUUGGAUGCUUUUUCCCCCCCCCCCAAUUGUGGGGAACGGUUAAACUUGUCUGACUGAGGGAGAAGCUUUCUGUGGGCCGCCACAACCACAAACCAAGUCUGCGACCGGUCACGGCUCUCUAGGCACUAGAAAACAGCGAGAUAAAGAUAGACGAGAGGGACUCGAGAGGGGGAGGGAGAAAACGUGUUGAUGUCAGCGUGUGAAUCAGCCAAAUCGCCGAAAUAAACCACAGUGCCGCGUUUGCGCUCCGGCUCUUUUGCACAAGGGUAAGCAUCAGUCAACCACAGGCUGACCGCCGA